rnacentral:rRNA from 1 species
UACGAAGGGGGCUAGCGUUGCUCGGAAUCACUGGGCGUAAAGCGCACGUAGGCGGACUCUUAAGUCGGGGGUGAAAUCCCAGAGCUCAACUCCAGAACUGCCUUUGAUACUGGAGAGCUUGAGUCCGGAAGAGGUGAGUGGAACUCCGAGUGUAGAGGUGAAAUUCGUAGAUAUUCGGAAGAACACCAGUGGCGAAGGCGGCUCACUGGUCCGGUACUGACGCUGAGACGCGAAAGCGUGGGGAGCGAACAGG